rnacentral:rRNA from 1 species
UACGAAGGGGGCUAGCGUUGUUCGGAUUUACUGGGCGUAAAGCGCGUGUAGGCGGGUCAUUAAGUUGGGGGUGAAAGCCCGGAGCUCAACUCCGGAACUGCCUUCAAAACUGGCGACCUGGAGCAUGUCAGAGGCGAGUGGAAUUGCGAGUGUAGAGGUGAAAUUCGUAGAUAUUCGCAGGAACACCAGUGGCGAAGGCGACUCGCUGGGACAUUGCUGACGCUGAGACGCGAAAGCGUGGGGAGCAAACAGG